rnacentral:lncRNA from 1 species
GAAAGAUAGUAAUUAUUGUUAAACAGGGACUCCAAC